rnacentral:rRNA from 1 species
UUCGGUGGUCAUAGCGUUGGGGAAACGCCCGGUUCCAUUCCGAACCCGGUAGCUAAGCCUAACUGCGCCGAUGGUACUGCACUCGGGAGGGUGU